GCCCGCCUAGCUCAAUCGGAUAGAGCGUCAGACUCUUACUCGGCGGGAAUCUGAAGGCUGCGAGUUCGACCCUCGCGGUGGGCU